AAUCCAUAGGUUAAUGAGGCGAACCGGGGGAACUGAAACAUCUAAGUACCCCGAGGAAAAGAAAUCAACCGAGAUUCCCCCAGUAGCGGCGAGCGAACGGGGAGGAGCCCAGAGCCUGAAUCAGCAUGUGUGUUAGUGGAAGCGUCUGGAAAGGCGCGCGAUACAGGGUGACAGCCCCGUACACAAAAGCGCAUGUGCUGUGAGCUCGAUGAGUAGGGCGGGACACGUGGUAUCCUGUCUGAAUAUGGGGGGACCAUCCUCCAAGGCUAAAUACUCCUGACUGACCGAUAGUGAACCAGUACCGUGAGGGAAAGGCGAAAAGAACCCCGGCGAGGGGAGUGAAAAAGAACCUGAAACCGUGUACGUACAAGCAGUGGGAGCCCCACCACUAAGCCAGUGGUGAACUCCACAUACGCAUCCUUUGCUGAGGAUACGGUUAACGGAGCGAAAGCGACGUUCAACCGCAAAAGAAGCAGAGGGGGCUUAGUGGUGGGGUGACUGCGUACCUUUUGUAUAAUGGGUCAGCGACUUAUAUUCUGUAGCAAGGUUAACCGAAUAGGGGAGCCGGAGGGAAACCGAGUCUUAAUUGGGCGUUAAGUUGCAGGGUAUAGACCCGAAACCCGGUGAUCUAGCCAUGGGCAGGUUGAAGGUUGGGUAACACUAACUGGAGGACCGAACCGACUAAUGUUGAAAAAUUAGCGGAUGACCUGUGGCUGGGGGUGAAAGGCCAAUCAAACCGGGAGAUAGCUGGUUCUCCCCGAAAGCUAUUUAGGUAGCGCCUCGUGAAUUCAUCUCCGGGGGUAGAGCACUGUUUCGGCUAGGGGGCCAUCCCGGCUUACCAACCCGAUGCAAACUGCGAAUACCGGAGAAUGUUAUCACGGGAGACACACGGCGGGUGCUAACGUCCGUCGUGAAGAGGGAAACAACCCAGACCGCCAGCUAAGGUCCCAAAGUCAUGGUUAAGUGGGAAACGAUGUGGGAAGGCCCAGACAGCCAGGAUGUUGGCUUAGAAGCAGCCAUCAUUUAAAGAAAGCGUAAUAGCUCACUGGUCGAGUCGGCCUGCGCGGAAGAUGUAACGGGGCUAAACCAUGCACCGAAGCUGCGGCAGCGACACUGUGUGUUGUUGGGUAGGGGAGCGUUCUGUAAGCCUGUGAAGGUGUGUCGUGAGGCAUGCUGGAGGUAUCAGAAGUGCGAAUGCUGACAUAAGUAACGAUAAAGCGGGUGAAAAGCCCGCUCGCCGGAAGACCAAGGGUUCCUGUCCAACGUUAAUCGGGGCAGGGUGAGUCGACCCCUAAGGCGAGGCCGAAAGGCGUAGUCGAUGGGAAACGGGUUAAUAUUCCCGUACUUGGUGUUACUGCGAAGGGGGGACGGAGAAGGCUAUGUUGGCCGGGCGACGGUUGUCCCGGUUUAAGCGUGUAGGUGUGUGUUCCAGGUAAAUCCGGUUCACUUUAACACUGAGGCGUGACGACGAGGCACUACGGUGCUGAAGCAACAAAUGCCCUGCUUCCAGGAAAAGCCUCUAAGCAUCAGGUAACAUCAAAUCGUACCCCAAACCGACACAGGUGGUCAGGUAGAGAAUACCAAGGCGCUUGAGAGAACUCGGGUGAAGGAACUAGGCAAAAUGGUGCCGUAACUUCGGGAGAAGGCACGCUGACACGUAGGUGAAGUGAUUUACUCAUGGAGCUGAAGUCAGUCGAAGAUACCAGCUGGCUGCAACUGUUUAUUAAAAACACAGCACUGUGCAAACACGAAAGUGGACGUAUACGGUGUGACGCCUGCCCGGUGCCGGAAGGUUAAUUGAUGGGGUCAGCGCAAGCGAAGCUCCUGAUCGAAGCCCCGGUAAACGGCGGCCGUAACUAUAACGGUCCUAAGGUAGCGAAAUUCCUUGUCGGGUAAGUUCCGACCUGCACGAAUGGCGUAAUGAUGGCCAGGCUGUCUCCACCCGAGACUCAGUGAAAUUGAACUCGCUGUGAAGAUGCAGUGUACCCGCGGCAAGACGGAAAGACCCCGUGAACCUUUACUAUAGCUUGACACUGAACAUUGAGCCUUGAUGUGUAG
rnacentral:rRNA from 2 species